rnacentral:siRNA from 1 species
AUUAAAACGGAGGUGUACAAAGAU